UCUUAUUAAGAGCGACGGAGGGAACAGGCCCUAUGAAGUCCAGCAACCAGGUUUUUCCACGGUGCUAAGUCCUGCAAGAAUUUCUUGAAAGAUGAGA
rnacentral:ncRNA from 1 species